GUACGGGAGGCAGCAGCUAAGAAUCUUCCGCAAUGGGGGCAACCCUGACGGAGCGACGCCGCGUGGAUGAUGAAGGCCGUAAGGUUGUAAAAUCCUUUUGUCGGUGAAGAAUAAGCGGGGGAGUGGAAAGCCCUCGUGAUGACGUUAGCCGACGAAUAAGCCCCGGCUAAUUACGUGCCAGCAGCCGCGGUAAUACGUAUGGGGCGAGCGUUGUUCGGAUUUAUUGGGCGUAAAGGGCGUGUAGGCGGCUCAUCAAGUCUGGUGUGAAAACGCAAGGCUUAACCUUGCAUAGGCGCUGGAAACUGGUGGGCUUGAGUUCUUGAGGGGAAGCUGGAAUUCCAGGUGUAGGGGUGAAAUCUGUAGAUAUCUGGAAGAACACCGGUGGCGAAGGCGAGCUUCUAUCAGAGGACUGACGCUGAGGCGCGAAAGCGUGGGGAGCAAACAGGAUUAGAUACCCCGGUAGC
rnacentral:rRNA from 1 species